rnacentral:rRNA from 1 species
AUUUUGACUGUACAAAGGUAGCAUAAUCAAUAGUCUCUUAAUUGGUGACUUGUAUGAAAGAUUGGAUGAAAUAUAGACUGUCUCUAAUUAAUUUAUAGAAAUUAAUUUUUUAGUAAAAAAGCUAAAAUAAUUUUAAAAGACGAGAAGACCCUAUAGAGUUUAAUAAUUUAUUUAAUUAUUAUUAAUAUAUAAUUUUUAAAAUUAAAAUUAAAUAAAUUAUUUUGUUGGGGUGAUAGAAAAAUUAAAUUAACUUUUUUUAUUUAUUUACAUUAAUUUAUGAUUAAAUGAUCCAUUUAUAAUGAUUAAAAGAAAAAAUUACCUUAGGGAUAACAGCGUAAUUUUUUUUUUUAGUUCAAAUAGGAAAAAAAGUUUGCGACCUCGAUGUUGGAUUAA